rnacentral:rRNA from 1 species
CACGGAUCCGUAGCGAAAGCGAGUCUGAAUAGGGCGCUUUAGUCAGUAGUGUUAGACGCGAAACCGUGUGAUCUACCCAUGGGCAGGAUGAAGCGCUGGUAACACAGUGUGGAGGUCCGAACCGGUUGACGUUGAAAAGUCUUCGGAUGACCUGUGGGUAGGGGUGAAAGGCCAAUCAAACUCGGAAAUAGCUCGUACUCCCCGAAAUGCAUUUAGGUGCAGCGUUAUUUUAGUUAUAUAGAGGUAGAGCUACUGAUUGGAUGCGGGGGCUUCACCGCCUACCAAUUCCUGACAAACUCCGAAUGCUAUAUAAUGAUUGAUAACAGUGAGGGCUUGGGUGCUAAGGUCCAAGUCCGAGAGGGAAAGAACCCAGACCAUCAGCUAAGGUCCCCAAAUAUAUGCUAAGUUGAAAGAACGAGGUUUGUCUGCCCAGACAGCUAGGAUGUUGGCUUGGAAGCAGCCAUUCAUUUAAAGAGUGCGUAACAGCUCACUAGUCGAGCGGACGAGCAUGGAUAAUAAUCGGGCAUAAGCAUAUUACCGAAGCUAUGGAUUUACAGUUAUACUGUAAGUGGUAGGGGAGCAUUCUAACAGGGUUGAAGGUGUAUCGUAAGGUAUGCUGGACUGGUUAGAAAAGAAAAUGUAGGCAUAAGUAACGAUAAUGCGGGCGAGAAACCCGCACACCGAAAAACUAAGGUUUCCACAGCUAUGCUAAUCAGCUGUGGGUUAGUCUGGUCCUAAGGCGAACCCGAAAGGGACAGUCGAUGGCUAACGGGUUAAUAUUCCCGUACUACUAAUUACUGUGAUGGGGUGACGGAGUGAUGAAAGCGCCGCGAACUGACGGAAUAGUUCGUUGAAGUACCUACCUAUAAGCUGCGCAGGCAAAUCCACGCGGCUUGGGGAAAUACGAUAGUACUCGGAGUCUUCGGACAAAGAGAUAGUGCGCCUAAGGGCUUCCAAGAAAAACCUCUAAACUUCAGGUAAUUAGUACCAGUACCGUAAACCGACACAGGUAGUUGAGGAGAGAAUCCUAAGGUGCUCGAGAGAUUCAUGGCUAAGGAAUUAGGCAAAAUAGACCUGUAACUUCGGGAGAAAGGUCGCCAGCGCAAGCUGGCCGCAGUGAAGAGGUCCAGGCGACUGUUUAUCAAAAACACAGGGCUCUGCAAAAUCGUAAGAUGAAGUAUAGGGCCUGACACCUGCCCGGUGCUGGAAGGUUAAGAGGAGAUGUUAUCUUCGGAGAAGCAUUGAAUUGAAGCCCCAGUAAACGGCGGCCGUAACUAUAACGGUCCUAAGGUAGCGAAAUUCCUUGUCGGGUAAGUUCCGACCUGCACGAAUGGUGUAACGAUCUGGACACUGUCUCAGCCAUGAGCUCGGUGAAAUUGUAGUAACGGUGAAGAUGCCGUUUACCCGCAGUGGGACGAAAAGACCCUGUGCACCUUUACUAUAGCUUAGUAUUGACCUUGGAUAAAUGAUGUGUAGGAUAGGUUGGAGACUGUGAAGUGGCGUCGCUAGGCGUUGUGGAGUCAUUGUUGAAAUACAACCCUUUGUUUAUCUGAGGCCUAACCCCGCUAUGUGGGGGACAUUGCUUGGUGGGUAGUUUGACUGGGGUGGUCGCCUCCAAAAGAGUAACGGAGGCUUCUAAAGGUUCCCUCAGUACGCUUGGUAACCGUGCGUAGAGUGCAAUGGCAUAAGGGAGCUUGACUGAGAGACAUACAGGUCGAUCAGGUACGAAAGUAGAGCAUAGUGAUCCGGUGGUUCCGCAUGGAAGGGCCAUCGCUCAAAGGAUAAAAGGUACGCCGGGGAUAACAGGCUGAUCUCCCCCAAGAGCUCAUAUCGACGGGGGGGUUUGGCACCUCGAUGUCGGCUCGUCACAUCCUGGGGCUGGAGAAGGUCCCAAGGGUUGGGCUGUUCGCCCAUUAAAGUGGCACGCGAGCUGGGUUCAGAACGUCGUGAGACAGUUCGGUCUCUAUCUACUGUGGGCGUUAGAAAUUUGAGUGGAUCUGAUUCUAGUACGAGAGGACCGAAUUGGACAAACCUCUAGUGUAUCUGUUGUCCCGCCAGGGGCACCGCAGAGUAGCUACGUUUGGAAGGGAUAAGCGCUGAAAGCAUAUAAGCGCGAAACCCACCACAAGAUGAGAUUUCUUUUAAGGAUCGUGGAAGAUGACCACGUUGAUAGGCUAUAGAUGUAAAGGCAGUAAUGUCAUAGUCGAGUAGUACUAAUAAUCCGUAAGCUUAUGUACACCC